rnacentral:rRNA from 1 species
UACGUAGGUGGCAAGCGUUAUCCGGAAUUACUGGGCGUAAAGGGCGUGUAGGCGGGAAGACAAGUCAGAAGUGAAACUCCGGGGCUUAACUCCGGAACUGCUUCUGAAACUGUCUUUCUUGAGUGUUGGAGAGGAAAGUGGAAUUCCCGGUGUAGCGGUGAAAUGCGUAGAGAUCGGGAGGAACACCAGUGGCGAAGGCGGCUUUCUGGACAAUAACUGACGCUGAGGCGCGAAAGCGUGGGGAGCAAACAGG